UGGUUAGUUUUGCAGGUUUGCAUCCAGCUGUAUAAUGUGUUGCUGUGCAAAUCCAUGCAAAACUGACUGU
ensembl:miRNA aca-mir-19b aca-mir-19b